rnacentral:rRNA from 1 species
AAUAUUGCGCAAUGGGCGACAGCCUGACGCAGCGACGCCGCGUGGGGGAUGAAGGUCUUCGGAUUGUAAACCCCUUUCGGCAGGGAAGAUGGAACGGGUAACCGUUCGGACGGUACCUGCAGAAGCAGCCACGGCUAACUUCGUGCCAGCAGCCGCGGUAAUACGUAGGGGGCAAGCGUUGUCCGGAUUUAUUGGGCGUAAAAGGCUUGUAGGUGGCCACGCCAAGUCGGAUGUGAAAUCUCCCGGCUCAACUGGGAGGGGUCAUUCGAUACUGGCGGGCUCGAGGCCGGUAGGGGGAAGUGGAAUUCCCGGUGUAGUGGUGGAAUGCGUAGAUAUCGGGAGGAACACCAGUGGCGAAGGCGGCUUCCUGGACCGGUUCUGACACUGAGGAGCGAAAGCGUGGGGAGCGAUC